GCAAGUCGAACGAAUCCAGGGAGCUUGCUCCUGAAGAUUAGUGGCAAACGGGUGAGUAAUACAUAGGAAUCUACCUAGCAGUAUGGAAUAACUUUGGGAAACUAAAGCUAAUACCAUAUAUUACCGAUUUAUCGGGAAAGAUUUAUCGCUGUUAGAUGAGCCUUUGGCGGAUUAGCUAGUUGGUAGGGUAAUGGCCUACCAAGCCUACGAUCUAUAGCUGGUUUGAGAGGAUGAUC
rnacentral:rRNA from 1 species